AUGAGACAUCAUACAGCACUCCAGCCAAGGAUGGAGACCACACUUAAUCCUAUGGAAAGCAGUGCGACUAUAUACAUACAAGAGCAAAAUCCACCUGGAAGAAGAAAAAACAAAGUCAAGGUGAAAACAAAAUCUUUCCAACGUCAUUCCUGUGAUGCUGGGUAG
rnacentral:lncRNA from 1 species